AAUUGCCAUCAUUCAGUUGGGCACUUUAAAGAGACUGCCGGUGUUAAACCGGAGGAAGGUGGGGAUGACGUCAAGUCCUCAUGGCCUUUAUGCCCAGGGCUACACACGUGCUACAAUGGGUGGUACAAAGAGAUGCAAUCUCGCAAGAGCAAGCAAACCUCAAAAAGCCAUCCUCAGUUCGGAUUGGAGUCUGCAACUCGACUCCAUGAAGUCGGAAUCGCUAGUAAUCGCGGAUCAGCACGCCGCGGUGAAUACGUUCCCGGGCCUU
rnacentral:rRNA from 1 species